rnacentral:rRNA from 1 species
CAUGCAAGUCGAGCGGCAGCACGGGAAGCUUGCUUCCUGGUGGCGAGCGGCGGACGGGUGAGUAAUGCAUAGAAAUCUGCCCGGUAGUGGGGGAUAACCUGGGGAAACCCAGGCUAAUACCGCAUACGUCCUACGGGAGAAAGCAGGGGAUCUUCGGACCUUGCGCUAUCGGAUGAGUCUAUGUCGGAUUAGCUUGUUGGUGAGGUAAUGGCUCACCAAGGCGACGAUCCGUAGCUGGUCUGAGAGGAUGAUCAGCCACAUCGGGACUGAGACACGGCCCGAACUCCUACGGGAGGCAGCAGUGGGGAAUAUUGGACAAUGGGCGAAAGCCUGAUCCAGCCAUGCCGCGUGUGUGAAGAAGGCCUUCGGGUUGUAAAGCACUUUCAGUGGGGAAGAAAGCCUUGGGGCUAAUACCCUCGAGGAAGGACAUCACCCACAGAAGAAGCACCGGCUAACUCCGUGCCAGCAGCCGCGGUAAUACGGAGGGUGCGAGCGUUAAUCGGAAUUACUGGGCGUAAAGCGCGCGUAGGCGGUCUGAUAAGCCGGUUGUGAAAGCCCCGGGCUCAACCUGGGAACGGCAUCCGGAACUGUCAGGCUAGAGUGCAGGAGAGGAAGGUAGAAUUCCCGGUGUAGCGGUGAAAUGCGUAGAGAUCGGGAGGAAUACCAGUGGCGAAGGCGGCCUUCUGGACUGACACUGACGCUGAGGUGCGAAAGCGUGGGUAGCAAACAGGAUUAGAUACCCUGGUAGUCCACGCCGUAAACGAUGUCGACUAGCCGUUGGGSUCCUUGAGASCUUUGUGGCGCAGUUAACGCGAUAAGUCGACCGCCUGGGGAGUACGGCCGCAAGGUUAAAACUCAAAUGAAUUGACGGGGGCCCGCACAAGCGGUGGAGCAUG